GAGGAGAAGAAAAGGGAGAGGGAGGAAGGAGGAACAAAGCUAAGGAGGAAAGGCUCUAUGCCUGACCCUGACCGAAGGUAUCCAAGGCGGACCCUGUAGGUUCCACUCACUCGGCACAACUCUGCAGACUGCCUCCCACAGGCACUGUCCUGCCUACUUGCCUCACAGCAGGAGCAAAAACAUCUGGGAGCCUGCACACAGUCCUUAGGCCUACGACGCCAUGGCAGCCUCUUUGUACACUCAGCCCGGGGAUCCGCAUCUGAUACUGUCUUUCUGGUCCCUGGGCCACAGGUGAUCUGAGGGACACACCCAAGCUACCUAGGCCAGGGCAGCAGGUCUCUGGCUGCCCACGGAGCAGUGCCACGUGGCUCAGAAGAGGAGCCCUUGUGUCCCUGGCCAGAGAGACAGAGGAGGAGGACUAGUCUUCUAGGAUCUAGGGGAGCCGGGAGGAGGCACACCUCAGAACUGAGCACUUCUGAAUCCGCUCUGGACCACUCACACCAGCUCUAGAACCAUCCACAGCAGACUCAGUAAGACAAGCCUGAGGAGUUCGCUGAGAAAAGGAGUGGAGGGACUCUGGAAGACAGGUUCCUGCGGAGGUCCUGCCAACAGCAUCAGCCCUCAGCACCUCAUCCUUGAACACCCACCUACUAGACAGAGUUUAAGCAGGGUGCUAAAGGCAGGCUCAACUGAAAUAAUCUCCAGCUUUCCAGGAAGCCCCAUUUAUAGCAUUCAUUUCUUAUAAAUUGUGGUAUUUGUUGUCUUGC